rnacentral:rRNA from 1 species
UGAGGAAUAUUGGUCAAUGGACGCAAGUCUGAACCAGCCAUGCCGCGUGCAGGAUGACGGCUCUAUGAGUUGUAAACUGCUUUUGUACGAGGGUAAACGCAGAUACGUGUAUCUGUCUGAAAGUAUCGUACGAAUAAGGAUCGGCUAACUCCGUGCCAGCAGCCGCGGUAAUACGGAGGAUUCAAGCGUUAUCCGGAUUUAUUGGGUUUAAAGGGUGCGUAGGCGGUUUGAUAAGUUAGAGGUGAAAUUUCGGGGCUCAACCCUGAACGUGCCUCUAAUACUGUUGAGCUAGAGAGUAGUUGCGGUAGGCGGAAUGUAUGGUGUAGCGGUGAAAUGCUUAGAGAUCAUACAGAACACCGAUUGCGAAGGCAGCUUACCAAACUAUAUCUGAUGUUGAGGCACGAAAGCGUGGGGAGCAAACAGGAUUAGAUACCCUGGUAGUCCACGCAGUAAACGAUGAUAACUCGUUGUCGGCGAUACACAGUCGGUGACUAAGCGAAAGCGAUAAGUUAUCCACCUGGGGAGUACGUUCGCAAGAAUGAAACUCAAAGGAAUUGACGGGGGCCCGCACAAGCGGAGGAACAUGUGGUUUAAUUCGAUGAUACGCGAGGAACCUUACCCGGGCUUGAAAGUUAGCGACGAUUCUUGAAAGAGGAUUUCCCUUCGGGGCGCGAAACUAGGUGCUGCAUGGUUGUCGUCAGCUCGUGCCGUGAGGUGUCGGGUUAAGUCCCAUAACGAGCGCAACCCCUACCGUUAGUUGCCAUCAGGUGAAGCUGGGCACUCUGGCGGGACUGCCGGUGUAAGCCGAGAGGAAGGUGGGGAUGACGUCAAAUCAGCACGGCCCUUACGUCCGGGGCUACACACGUGUUACAAUGGUAGGUACAGAGGGCAGCUACCCAGCGAUGGGAUGCGAAUCUCGAAAGCCUAUCUCAGUUCGGAUUGGAGGCUGAAACCCGCCUCCAUGAAGUUGGAUUCGCUAGUAAUCGCGCAUCAGCCAUGGCGCGGUGAAUACGUUCCC